CUCUCUCUGCGGAUGUUGGUCCUGUCGCAUCGGAGGCAUCGCGGGAGCCCGGCCGUGCCGUCCCGUCGGAGCACGGGCCGUGCUUGCCACCGGUCCUACGACUGCUGCCUCGCACAGAUAAGUUCUCCCCCCUUCUUGUGUGCUUGGGUGCCCUCUCACAGUCUCGCUCCAGCGCCAAACCCUAGCGGCAUCUGUGAUUUCGCUUGCUCCUCCCUUUGUCUAGCUGCCUGUCCAAGAACAAAGUGCGAAUUGUGAGCUUCGGUUCUCUAUUGUGCUGUGCUGUCUUUUUCGUGCUACAUCAGAUAUGCUAUCUCUUGAUCUGAUUUCCGAUUCUUUGUUGUGGUUGUGUAGGUGCAGAGUUCUCAUGCCGGCGGUGACAUGAGGUAUGGAAGUGGUCCCUAAAGAAGAAAGUGAGCAGUCAGUUGCAUAGGAGAAUAUCAAGGUGAAUAAUACAUACUUGAUGACUUCUGAAGCUUAAGACUGUUGUUGUCUCCCGUGUAGUCAGAAAAUUGCAAAGAUCAUUUCUUGCUAAAGUAAGAGAGGUUCAUUGGUGUCAAGUUGCUGCGGCUUUUACCCAUUUGUUCUCCAAGGAUUUGCAAGGGUAUUGUUUGAGAGGGUUCAGUUUAAAUGGCUGGUACCUCGUGUGAGAGGGUUGCAAGGUGUCGUGAAAAGAGAAAAAAGAGACAUCUUGCGAUUGCGCAAGGUUUCUUCAGACGAUCGGUUUUUGGUAACACUACCCAAGGUCUGUGUUGGCGCUCCUUAAGUAUCCAUUUUAUCUCCUGUUUAACUUUGAUAAUGGCAUGAAUUUAAUAUCAGAAUCACUAACCAUCCUAACCUCGGC